GCCAGCCCCACCCUACCGGAAACUUGUUUGUAUCAGUCUAUAAAAACCCUGUACCAACCCAGCUCUAGACCUCUUGGCGUUAUAGGCAACCAGCGGUGCAGAGGUCCAGGUUUGAACCUGCAAUAAACGACCCUUGCUGCUUGGCUUUGACUCACGUCUCUGGUGGUCUUUUAAGCCUAAUUGCUCUAGCUAGAACUUUCAAUACUAUGGUGAAUAAAGAUGUCAAAACUGGGCAACUUUGUCUUGUUCCUGAUCUUCGAGGAAAACUUCCUGAUUUUCACCAGUCAGUGGGCAUCUUAAGGGCUAUAACUCUGAACCCUUUAUCAGAACCCCAGGAUGAAUUUGAAGCACUUACUACAGAUGGAUGUGGCAGCAUUUGGACAACAUGUGUACUGUAUUUGGACAACAUGCGUACUUCCUUAAAUCCAGAUUGAGUGGUAUAUGACCUGUGCAAACUGAGGCACAUAAAAUUUUUUCAAGAGGUUAUUUGAAUAUGUAUUGAUUCAAAGUUAGGAGCACUCCAGAGUAAAGAGCUAAGGAAGCAUUUUUUAAGAGAAGGAAGUAAA
rnacentral:lncRNA from 1 species